GGUCGUGGCUCAGUGGUUAAGCACUUGCCUUACAUGCCUGAGGCACUGGGUUUGAUCCUCAGCACCA
rnacentral:tRNA from 1 species